GUGAGGAAUUUUCCGCAAUGGGCGAAAGCCUGACGGAGCAAUGCCGCGUGAAGGAUGAAGGCCUAUGGGUUGUAAACUUCUUUUCUCAGAAAAGAAUUAUGACGGUAUCUGAGGAAUAAGCAUCGGCUAACUCUGUGCCAGCAGCCGCGGUAAGACAGAGGAUGCAAGCGUUAUCCGGAAUGAUUGGGCGUAAAGCGUCUGUAGGUUGUUUAAAAAGUAUUCUGUCAAAGAUUAGGGCUUAACCCUAGAUAGGCAGAAUAAACUUUUAAGCUAGAGGUUGGUAGAGGCAGAGGGAAUUCCCGGUGGAGCGGUGAAAUGCGUAGAUAUCGGGAGGAACACCAAAGGCGAAGGCACUCUGCUGGGCCAAUACUAACACUGAGAGACGAAAGCGAGGGGAGCAAAUGGGAUUAGAUACCCGUGUAGUCC
rnacentral:rRNA from 1 species